rnacentral:rRNA from 1 species
GGGGAGUAUUGGACAAUGGGCGAAAGCCUGAUCCAGCAAUGCCGCGUGAGUGAUGAAGGCCUUAGGGUUGUAAAGCUUCUUUUACCAGGGAUGAUAAUGACAGUACCUGGAGAAGAAGCUCCGGCUAACUCCG